rnacentral:rRNA from 1 species
CUUAACACAUGCAAGUCGAACGAUGAACCAGGGCUUGCCCUGGGGAUUAGUGGCGAACGGGUGAGUAACACGUGGGCAACCUGCCCCAGACACCGGGAUAACCUCUCGAAAGAGUGGCUAAUACCGGAUAUGACCACUUCGGGCAUCCGACGGUGGUGGAAAGGAUUCUGGUCUGGGAUGGGCCCGCGGCCUAUCAGCUAGUUGGUGGGGUAAUGGCCUACCAAGGCGACGACGGGUAGCCGGCCUGAGAGGGCGACCGGCCACACUGGGACUGAGACACGGCCCAGACUCCUACGGGAGGCAGCAGUGGGGAAUAUUGCGCAAUGGGCGAAAGCCUGACGCAGCGACGCCGCGUGAGGGACGAAGGUCUUCGGAUUGUAAACCUCUUUCAGCAGGGACGAAGCGAAAGUGACUGUACCUGCAGAAGAAGCACCGGCUAACUACGUG